GGUAUCUCCAAAAGCAGGACAUCAGGGAACUAAGUUGGGAUGGUGGGAUAGAACGCAAAAAUUAGGACUAAUCCCCUGAAAUCGGGAAGGUAGGGAAAACUUGUACAAAAACCAUAAUUGCUAUAAUUCUGGCUUCACCUUUGAAUCCAAGUGUAGUUGGGCAUCAGUAUUGCUCAGUUUUUAUAAGUUAAUGCUGCGACUGCUUAUAGCAAAUAUCCUGAUCUAGCCAGCAUACUGCAAACUUUAAC